AACGAACGCUGGCGGCAUGCCUAACACAUGCAAGUCGAACGAGACCUUCGGGUCUAGUGGCGCACGGGUGCGUAACGCGUGGGAAUCAGCCCUUGGGUUCGGAAUAACAGUUGGAAACGACUGCUAAUACCGGAUGAUGACGUAAGUCCAAAGAUUUAUCGCCCAAGGAUGAGCCCGCGUAGGAUUAGCUAGUUGGUGAGGUAAAGGCUCACCAAGGCGACGAUCCUUAGCUGGUCUGAGAGGAUGAUCAGCCACACUGGGACUGAGACACGGCCCAGACUCCUACGGGAGGCAGCAGUGGGGAAUAUUGGACAAUGGGCGAAAGCCUGAUCCAGCAAUGCCGCGUGAGUGAUGAAGGCCUUAGGGUUGUAAAGCUCUUUUACCCGGGAUGAUAAUGACAGUACCGGGAGAAUAAGCUCCGGCUAACUCCGUG
rnacentral:rRNA from 1 species